rnacentral:ncRNA from 1 species
AUUUAAUCGUUGAGAGGGAUUAGUAGGGGAUUGAUUUUUUUAGAGACCGUAUGGUGCUGGGAAUGCGGAAAAUCGGUCGUUGAACUCGCCUUUGAGAGUGCUUUGCUGAAUGUUUAGUAGGUUAAAGCCGUGGGGUUCGCGUUAUGAACAUUAAGAGCUACAUUUUGUAGAACAUGGGUGGUACCGCGGAUUCAUUCGUCCUGUAG